rnacentral:sRNA from 1 species
UAGCAUCUGUUGAAGGGUCUUCGCGUUG